rnacentral:lncRNA from 1 species
GUGUGUGUGAGGGUGCCGUGAGGGUGUGUGUGAGGGUGUGUGUGGGUGUGUGUGUGUGUGAGGGUGUGUAUGUGUGAAAGGCACUGGGAAAAGAAUCCCAUGCUAAAUGCCCAAGAGCCCAGAGGAGAGGAAGACGGGGCCAGGAGCCUACAGAGGAGGAAGGGUAGCCAUUCUGGGCCUGGAGACCCCCACCUUCCUCCCCUAAAAUACAGGGAAGAAGAAGGCCUGCCCUAGAGGCCAGUAGGAGCUGAGCAAAAGGAAUCCUAAGUCCAAGAGAGGAGCAGAGGACCUGGCCGCCAGCUCCACCCUCCCUCCCAGGGCCAAAUUUAGCCUGGGCUUAGAAGCUGCGGCCCAGCCAGCUCAUUAAAGGGCCCACGACCCUUUGGGCCUGUGCUGUCAGACCCACCCGGGCCCUAGGACACCUCCAGCCCUCAGAGCUCCCAGCCCCUUCAUCCCAGAGCCCAGCUCCCAGCCCCAUUCCCUGGAUCCCCAGCUGGCCAUGGCAUUAACACCCCAAAGCCCUUCUGGCGCCUGCCUCACCCAACCCAGAUCCCUCUUCUGUGGGCCCUCCACACCUCCGUCUUACCACCCCUAAAUCCUGCCCCCUCAUCCUGGGCCUCCCCGCUGAACAAGGCCCCAACUUGCCCACGAGGAGAGGAGUCCAGAAGAGUGUCUCAGCCAUGGCUGCCCGGCCUGGCCCGCCCGGCCAAGCUGGGUGUCCCCUUAGCCCCUGCGUGCUUUCCUGGGCACAACACAAUCACACAGACUGCUCCAAGCUCCUCGAAGACUAGGAUCUUGUCACGUUUGUAUCCUUGGGCCUGGCACAGGGCCUGGUAACUAGUAGGUGUAGCUGGCUGGCGGCAGCUUCCUUAACAGCAAACGUAGGUGCCAUCCACCCAGCCUUUAUCCCCAGUCCAAGCACUUCAGCGUGGAGGUCUAGCAAGCCCUGGACAGGACCAGCCAGCUAGAGACAGAUUACAGGAGUAAGAGAGAAGAGGAGGGACUGUCCGAGGUGCCUCGGCACUAUGGCUGCACAGCUGGAUCUCUGGACACGGAGCCCUGGACCGUUUCCACCCAGACACUCCCAUUCCAUCAAGUGGGGGUGUGGACGUUUAUGCAAUUCUGGAAGGUCUCCUGGUGGGGACCCCUGGGAAAGAGACUAAUAAGAAAGCAUCCAGUUUCUUCGGUCUCUGACGUUGUUGUCUGCACAAGAGAGUUAAGGCAGCCAUCUUGGGACCAUGAGGGAGCCAGUCUAAGAGGCAAAUCAACACAAUGAGAGGGUGUUGGAAAAAGACAAAAAGAACCUGGUCCUUGAUGUCACAGCCAGGCCUCUGAAUUAACCACCCCCAGGACUUCUUGUUACGUGAGCUAAUAAACGUUCCUUUUUGCUUAAACCCCUUCUAGUUGGGCUUUCUGUUGUAACUUGCACCGAAAACUACAAUAGGAUAGCAAAGGAUAUGAACAUAAGUGAUUUGCCUAGAGGAAACCCACAUGGUCAAUGAGAAUAAGAUGCUCAGCCUCAUAGGCAGGGAAUGCAGCUUCAAAUGAGAUGCCACUUCAUGCCUAUCAGAUUGGCAAACAUAAGUCUAACAAGAGCAAAAGUUGGCAAGGAUGUGGUAAAACAGGAUGUCUUGUACAAACGCUGGUGGUGAGAGGAUCAAUUGGUUCAGACGCUGUAGAGAGCAGUUUGGCAGUACUAGUCAACUUCAAAGUGUGCCUGCCCGACAAUCCUAGCUUUCUAAGUAUAUGCCCUAAUAAUGGGUUCAGAGAAAAGUCCAAGCAUGUUCAUUGAAGCCCUGUUUAUAUAACAGCAAAACAGGCCCGGUGCAAUGGCUCAUGCCUGUAAUCCCAGCACUUUGGGAAGCUGAGGCAGGCAGAUCACUUGAGCU